rnacentral:rRNA from 1 species
CCGAAUCCUGACACAGGGAGGUAGUGACAAGAAAUAACAAUACAGGGCUACUUCUAGUCUUGUAAUUGGAAUGAGUACAACUUACAUCUCUUCACGAGGAUCAAUUGGAGGGCAAGUCUGGUGCCAGCAGCCGCGGUAAUUCCAGCUCCAAUAGCGUAUAUUAAAAGUUGUUGCAGUUAAAAAGCUCGUAGUCGGAUUUCGGGUCGGGCCGAGCGGUCUGCCGAUGGGUAUGCACUGUUUGGCGCGGCCUUCUUUCCGGAGACCGCGGCUACUCUUAACUGAGCGGGCGUGGGAGACGGAUCGUUUACUUUGAAAAAAUCAGAGUGUUUCAAGCAGGCAGCUCGCUCUUGCAUGGAUUAGCAUGGGAUAAUUGAAUAGGACUCUGGUGCUAUUUUGUUGGUUUCGAACACCGGAGUAAUGAUUAACAGGGACAGUCA